rnacentral:rRNA from 1 species
UGACUNGAGUGCAGAAGGGGAGAGUGGAAUUCCAUGUGUAGCGGUGAAAUGCGUAGAUAUAUGGAGGAACACCAGUGGCGAAAGCGGCUCUCUGGUCUGUCACUGACGCUGAGGCUCGAAAGCGUGGGUAGCGAACAGGAUUAGAUACCCUGGUAGUCCAUGCCGUAAACGAUGAGUGCUAGGUGUUAGGCCCUUUCCGGGGCUUAGUGCCGGAGCUAACGCAAUAAGCACUCCGCCUGGGGAGUACGACCGCAAGGUUGAAACUCAAAGGAAUUGACGGGGGCCCGCACAAGCGGUGGAGCAUGUGGUUUAAUUCGAAGCAACGCGAAGAACCUUACCAGGUCUUGACAUCCCGAUGCUAUUCUUAGAGAUAGGAAGUUACUUCGGUACAUCGGAGACAGGUGGUGCAUGGUUGUCGUCAGCUCGUGUCGUGAGAUGUUGGGUUAAGUCCCGCAACGGGCGCAACCCUUAUUGUUAGUUGCCAUCAUUAAGUUGGGCACUCUAGCGAGACUGCCGGUAAUAAACCGGAGGAAGGUGGGGAUGACGUCAAAUCAUCAUGCCCCUUAUGACCUGGGCUACACACGUGCUACAAUGGUCGGUACAACGAGUUGCGAGCCGGUGACGGCAAGCUAAUCUCUGAAAGCCGAUCUCAGUUCGGAUUGGAGGCUGCAACUCGCCUCCAUGAAGUCGGAAUCGCUAGUAAUCGCGGAUCAGCACGCCGCGGUGAAUACGUUCCCGGGCCUUGUACACACC